CAGGAAGCUUGAAACAUGGCAGAGCUCUUUCUGAAAUUAUUCCAGGUAUUAAAAAAUCGGGUCAGGAAAGGCUCUUUGCUGAAACAGUUUGUACCAAGUGAGCGCAUUUGUUCUUCCAUCUCCUCCUUUUUGAAAGUUCCGCCAGCACUUCUUUCAUGCUGAGCCAGUGGCUGCCCUCCAUUGGGAUCACCAGCAGUUUCCCGGCAGCGGCAGGACUCAGGCAGCACAAGAAGAGGAGCAGCACUGCCACCAGCAUGUUGCGAGUUGGACAGACAGGAACCCACGCACCAGAGAGGCCGGGGUGGUUCGCAAGCUUUUGUAGCUGUGCUCCACUUAUGCAAACACACCCCUUGGCAAUGCUUUGUCAUGAUACCUGUGCCCUUUUGACUUGCUUGGCAUUUCAGUUGUUCACAAGUUUGCACGCAAUGGAGUCAUGGAAGGUGAUUAAUGAUUAUAAAAGGUUGAGAUGAGGUUUGUACUUCAAAAGCAGGUUUGCACUAAUGCUAACACGAGAAAAGUGUGUCUCCUAUGACACACCUUGCUUGCCCAAGCUGAGACUACAGCUCAAUGUCUCAGCCUUCUCCCCAUAGUAGGACCACAUGACACUUCUUACCGUAAACCUCCUUUACAGACAUUUACUGACAAUAUGCUCUAAGGUACAUGGGAAUCCAUGAAAGAAAUGCAUCCACAGAGUGGAUGGACAGAAACACUGCUGGGAUUACCCCACAUGGUAGUACUGGGUCUAUGAAGAACACACCAAAAUUACUCUUUUCCAUCUAGUGCUGGAGUUCUCUGUGCCACUGAAGGCUGUCAGACUUGCCAUAGAGUGUAGUAACAUGGUAUUUUUUAUAAAUACCUUUUUUUUUCUAAUGAAGCUGAGGCAAGUUGUACAGUGAAACAUAACCUGUAGUAAAGAUAACGAUGAAGACAGGCUGAGAGAGUUGGGGUUGUUCAGCCUGGAGAAGAGAAGGCUCCAGGGAGACCUUAGAGCCCCUUCCAGUCCCUGAAGGGGCUCCAGGAAAGCUGGAGAGGGACUGGUAUACGAGGGCAGGGAGUGACAGGACAAGGGGGAAUGGCCUGAAGCUGCAGGAAGGGAGACUGAGAGUUGAGGAAGAAAUUCUUCUCUAUGAGGGUGGUGAGGCCCUGGCGCAGGUUGCCCAGAGAAGCUGUGGCUGCCCCUGGCUCCCUGGAAGUGUUCAAGGCCAGGUUGGAUGGGGCUUUGGGCAACCUGGGCUAGUGGAGGGUGUCCCCGCCCAUGGCAGGGGGUUGGAACAAGAUGGGCUUUAAGGUCCCUUCCAACCCAAACCAUUCUGUGAUUCUAUAAAUAUGAGAAAUCAAUGUUAAAGUACCAGGGGUUUGUUGUUUCCCUUUUUUUUUUUUUAAUAACCAAAACCAAUUGGUACAACUGAGAAAAAUGAAUUCUUUUUUCAUUGAUGCAAAUACGUGUUUUUUUGAAGAUAAGUAGCCAACAGAAAAUCCUUCACCAUCUCUACAUGUAACUUCCAUCUAACCUUUUAUCCUACUGGGCGUAAAACUAAGUUGCAAAACAGCAGUUCACCAUUGUACCUCAGAUAACGUAAACCAACAACACGUUUCCAAUUCAUGAACUCACGAGUUCCUGGCCCAUGUCACUUUAGUUCAUAACUGAAACAGUUCAUGAACUCUGUGGGUCCAGAUCCUUCUCUGUUGUAAACUCUUGGGGUUUUAAAUGUUGGUGAUAGCCUCUCACCAUAAAAGAUUGUAAGUAGGUGGCUGGGCAGGUGCCUUUGAGAUAGUAUUUGCUCCUCCUGGGCAUGCAGGGCUGUAUAUCACUGGUGGAGAUUUCUUUCACGUGCAGUUUCUGCAUGCUUAUUGUCAAGCCUGGUGGGAAAACUUUGACCUUAUUGAGAACCUGCCCUCAAAAAACAGCAGCCGGCUCCACCACCUGCACUGGCCCCAUAUCAGUAGUUUACAACAUGGCAACUUUCACAGAGCUCAGGAGAAGGGGAUGCACAGAAACAGAUCAGUUGCUCAGAACCUUGGAAAAGGCUGUCAAAUGAACACUAGAAGAAGACGCUUUCAAGCUAGAGUGACAGAUGAAGACAGACAGUCAUGCACGUCUCGAAUAUCUGAUCAGAAAUCUUUCCCGAUCCUGACUCCAUGUCCUUUUGAAAGACCCCUUGUAAGCAACUGCUGCUCCUUUUCCUUCAUUCAAACAUAUAUAACCAGCUAGAGUGAACUGAGUGGCACUAGAGACUGUUCUGGUAAGAGGAUUUGCUCUGCCACUUCCAACACAAACACUAACCAUACUUAUCUGGACAAAAGGGCAGGAUAUUAGGGGUUUCUUCUACACUACUCUGUUUCAGGGGUACUCAGAAUUUGUGAUACUUGAAUAUACUUUUCCCGCUUUCGAUCUGCUAUAGAAUAUGCUGUAUUUGAUUCAGAGACCUGGUUGGUACCCAAAAACCUAAAUGGGAUUUUACAGAAGACAUCCAUGCCCAGAAGAGCUUAAAACCUAAUUAAAUAACCUCUGAAAGAAGGUUGCAUACUAGGAAAUGACAUUUCUGCAUCAUGCAGGAUUUCUCAUUAGCUAUCUUUAAAUACCAAGGUGUUGUCAGUUAGGAUGCUUUAAACAUUUAUGUUCUUUUCAAUAAAAACAAAACAAAAUUUUAUACCUGAGACAGUUUUUUCUUCUGAUCACAGUUUAUCCCUCCAAUAAAAAACAUGUUUGGCAUCACUGGUCUCGGGAACUCAAACACAAAAUCGUAUCUCAUUAGCCAAACAGAUCCAUGGCUUAGGAGGUCUGUAGCUGUCACUUUCUUUUGCAAAAAAUCGUAUGCAAGUUCUUCAAAUUGGGCGAAUAUAGGCUUACAGUAAAUGAACUCCAGCAUACGAACCAGCAUGUUCUUCACGCGUUGAGUAAACGUCAUGCUAUCUGAAUUAUUUAGGAAGAGUCUGGGGACAUAGGAAGGAGGGUUUGGACACUGGGUAGCUUCAGAAUCCAUGCCACAAGGAAAUCCUCGCAAAAAGUAGACAGAAGGAAUUGAAAGAUACUCAGCAAUUAUCGGUCCGCACAUCAGAAUUGGAUCCGUGAAAACCACAUCAAAUUUGCUCUCUCUCAAAUACUGUAUCAUGUCUUUGUUGUGCAAAAGGCUCUUACAGUUGCUGAAAAAGUACUUGGAAAUUUCUAAUGUGCUUCUAUACAUUGUAAUAAUAAUAUUCAAAACAGAUUGUUCAAUAAAAUGAGCAUUAACAAA